AAUCUUACCGGGUCCGGACACACUGAGGAUUGACAGACAGUUGUCUUUCCCUCCCUUCGGGGUGGGAUUACAAAAGAUAACAGAUCUUUCAUGAUCAUGUGAUGGGUGGUGCAUGGCCGUUCUUAGUUCGUGGAGUGAUCUGUCUGCUUAAUUGCGUUUCAAAUUUUAUAUUUGUUAACAUGCGAGUCUUCAAUGACGGCCACUCCACCUUAUAGACAUUAUAUGAUAUGCACAUUUGUGUAUUUGAUUAUAACUUGUCUGGAGUCUGGCUCGAUUUUUUUGACUCAAUUGAACGCAACGGACGUGAUUGCAAGUCCUUGUUGAACAAAUUAUAUAUAUACUACUUCAUCAUUAGUAUAUAUAGUUCGCUUCUCAUGUCGUAGCAGUCAAACGGGCGGGCGUCUUAAUUGGCGCGGUCACGAGGCUUAAUAUGCUGCGGCUGGGGAAAACUUGGGCGACCGCUGUAAUACUUCUCUCUUAAACCAGAGGAAGAUUGCGGCAAUAACAGG
rnacentral:rRNA from 1 species